UUCCGGUUGAUCCCGCCGGACCCACUUGCUAUCGGGAUAGGACUAAGACAUGCUAGUUGAGCGCUUCAGCCAAAACGAGGCGCGGCGUACAGCUCAGUAACACGUGGCUAAUCUGCCCUUAGGACAGGAACAACCCCGGGAAACUGGGGCUAAUUCUUGAUAUGUGAAGAACUCUGGAAUGAGUCUUCGCUUAAAAGACUUCACGUUAUGCUCGUGAUGUUGCCUAAGGAUGAGGCCGCGGCCGAUCAGGUUGUUGGUGAGGUAAUGGCUCACCAAGCCUUUUACCGGUGCGGGCCGUGAGAGCGGGAGCCCGGAGAUGGGUACUGAGACAAGGACCCAGGCCCUACGGGGCGCAGCAGUCGCGAAAACUUUGCCAAUACACGAAAGUGUGACAGGGCUAUCCCGAGUGCCUUCCGCUGAGGGAGGCUUUUACCUAGUAUAGACCGCUAGGGGAAUAAGGAGAGGGCAAGUCUGGUGUCAGCCGCCGCGGUAAUACCAGCUCUCCGAGUGGUGUGGAUGUUUAUUGGGCCUAAAGCAUCCGUAGCUGGCUAGGUCAGUCCUUUGUUAAAUCCACCGAAUUAAUCGUUGGUUUGCGGGGGAUACUGCUUGGCUAGGGGACGAGAGAGGCAGACGGUAUUUCCGGGGUAGGAGUGAAAUCCUAUAAUCCCGGGAAGACCACCAGUGGCGAAGGCUGUCUGCUAGAACGCGCUCGACGGUGAGGGAUGAAAGCUG
rnacentral:rRNA from 1 species